rnacentral:rRNA from 1 species
GACGAACGCUGGCGGCGUGCUUAACACAUGCAAGUCGAACGAGUGGCGAAAGCGUGAGAAACACGUCGGUGAUCUGCCUUGCACUUCGGGAUAAGCUUGGGAAACUGGGUCUAAUACCGGCAAGUGCAAGAUGAGCUCGCGGACAAUCAGCUUGUUGGUGGGGUAAUGGCUACCAAGGCGCGACGGGUAGCCGGCCGGAGAGGGUGUACGUGAUAAGGGGGACUGAGAGAGGGGCCAGAGUCCUACGGGGGGCAGCAGGGGGGAAUAUUGCACAAUGGGGGGAAGCGUGAUGCAGCGACGUAGCGGUGGGGAUGAAGGCCUUCGGGUUGUAAACGCCUUUCGACAGGGACGCGGUACCUGUAUAAGAAGCACCGGCUAACUACGUGCCAGCAGCGGCGGUAAUAG